UGCGAGUCUGGUCUCUUUUGU
rnacentral:piRNA from 1 species